rnacentral:rRNA from 1 species
CCUAGGGAGGCUCCAGUGAGGAAUAUUGCACAAUGGGGGGAACCCUGAUGCAGCAACGCCGCGUGGAGGAUGACGCAUUUCGGUGUGUAAACUCCUUUUAUAUGUCAAGAAAAUGACGGUAGCAUAUGAAUAAGCACCGGCUAACUCCGUGCCAGCAGCCGCGGUAAUACGGAGGGUGCAAGCGUUACUCGGAAUCACUGGGCGUAAAGGACGCGUAGGCGGGUUGGAAAGUCAGGUGUGAAAUCCUACAGCUUAACUGUAGAACUGCACUUGAAACUUCUAAUCUAGAGUAUGGGAGGGGGAGAUGGAAUUAGUGGUGUAGGGGUAAAAUCCGUAGAUAUCACUAGGAAUACCUAAAGCGAAGGCGAUCUCCUGGAACAUUACUGACGCUAAGGCGUGAAAGCGUGGGGAGCAAACAGGAUUAGAUACCCGUGUAGUC